UACAGAGGUCUCGAGCGUUAGUCGGAGUCACUGGGCUUAAAGCGUACGUAGGCGGAGAUGCAGGCGUCGUGUGAAAUCCCUUGGCUUAACCAAGGAACUGCACGGCGAACCGCAUCUCUUGAGACAAGUAGAGGCGGUCGGAACGAUAGGUGGAGUGGUGAAAUGCGUUGAUAUCUAUCGGAACGCCGAAGGUGAAAACAGGCCGAGCUGGG
rnacentral:rRNA from 1 species